AGCAACUCGCCUUUCGGCUGGAGUCGCCAUCUUCCAGUAAUUCGCCAAAAUGACGAACACAAAGGGAAAGAGGAGAGGCACCCGAUACAUGUUCUCUAGGCCUUUUAGAAAACAUGGAGUUGUUCCUUUGGCCACAUACAUGCGAAUCUACAAGAAAGGUGAUAUUGUAGACAUCAAGGGAAUGGGUACUGUUCAAAAAGGCAUGCCCCACAAAUGUUACCAUGGCAAAACUGGAAGAGUCUACAACGUUACACAGCAUGCUGUUGGAAUUGUUGUAAAUAAACAAGUUAAGGGCAAGAUUCUUGCCAAGAGGAUUAAUGUACGUAUCGAGCACAUUAAGCACUCUAAGAGCUGAGAUAGCUUCCUGAAGCGUGUGAAGGAAAAUGAUCAGAGAAAGAAGGAAGCCAAAGAGAAAGGUACCUGGGUUCAACUGAAGCGACAGCCUGCUCCACCCAGAGAAGCACACUUUGUGAGAACCAAUGGAAAGGAGCCCGAGCUGCCGGAACCUAUUCCUUAUGAAUUCAUGGCAUAAUAGGUGUUUCACACUUUGUGAGAAGCGACAGAAAGGAGCCUACGGUGUUGGGACCUGUUCCCUGUGAAUUCAUGGCGUAAUAGGUAUAGCACACCUGUGAGAAGCAAAGAAAGGACCUUGAGCUGCCAGAAUCUAUUCCCUAUGAAUUCAUGGUAUAGGAGACAAACCUAAUAAAAGCCGCUGGACUCUAAAAAAAAAAAAAAAA